UAAUACGAAGGGGGCUAGCGUUGCUCGGAAUCACUGGGCGUAAAGGGCGCGUAGGCGGCCGAUUAAGUCGGGGGUGAAAGCCUGUGGCUCAACCACAGAAUUGCCUUCGAUACUGGUUGGCUUGAGACCGGAAGAGGACAGCGGAACUGCGAGUGUAGAGGUGAAAUUCGUAGAUAUUCGCAAGAACACCAGUGGCGAAGGCGGCUGUCUGGUCCGGUUCUGACGCUGAGGCGCGAAAGCGUGGGGAGCAAACAGG
rnacentral:rRNA from 1 species